rnacentral:rRNA from 1 species
AGAGUUUGAUCAUGGCUCAGGAUGAACGCUGGCGGCGUGCCUAACACAUGCAAGUCGAGCGGUUUCCUAUGCGGCACUGAGUGCUUAUGGCCUCGACACUUAGCCAGCGUCAAGGGUGCGACGAAGUCGGACCCUUCACGCGAAACAAAAGUGCCAACGCAAAAGUGCCAACAGAGGGUGAGCAUUGAGUGCCGGAUAGGAAACAGCGGCGGACGGGUGAGUAACGCGUGGGCAACCUGCCCUAUGCAGGGGGAUAACACAGCGAAAGUUGUGCUAAUACCCCAUAGUGCCAGACAUACGCAUGUAUGAUUGGUGAAAGAUUGUAUCGGCAUAGGAUGGGCCCGCGUCUGAUUAGCUAGUUGGUGAGGUAACGGCUCACCAAGGCGACGAUCAGUAGCCGACCUGAGAGGGUGAACGGCCACACUGGAACUGAGACACGGUCCAGACUCCUACGGGAGGCAGCAGUGGGGAAUAUUGCACAAUGGGGGAAACCCUGAUGCAGCAACGCCGCGUGAGCGAAGAAGGCCUUCGGGUCGUAAAGCUCUGUCCUAAGGGAAGAAGAAUGACGGUACCUUAGGAGGAAGCCCCGGCUAACUACGUGCCAGCAGCCGCGGUAAUACGUAGGGGGCAAGCGUUAUCCGGAAUCACUGGGCGUAAAGGGUGCGUAGGCGGCCGAUAAAGUCUGGGGUGAAAGGCUACGGCUCAACCGUGGUAAGCCUUGGAAACUUAUGGGCUUGAGUGCAGGAGAGGUAAGUGGAAUUCCAAGUGUAGCGGUGAAAUGCGUAGAUAUUUGGAGGAACACCAGCGGCGAAGGCGGCUCUCUGGUCUGUUACUGACGCUGAGGCGCGAAAGCGUGGGGAGCAAACAGGAUUAGAUACCCUGGUAGUCCACGCCGUAAACGAUGAGUGCUAAGUGUUAGGGGGUUUCCGCCCCUUAGUGCUGCAGUUAACGCAUUAAGCACUCCGCCUGGGGAGUACGACCGCAAGGUUGAAACUCAAAGGAAUUGACGGGGGCCCGCACAAGCGGUGGAGCAUGUGGUUUAAUUCGAAGCAACGCGAAGAACCUUACCAGGUCUUGACAUCCUUUGACCAUUCUGGAGACAGAACUUUCCCUUCGGGGACAAAGUGACAGGUGGUGCAUGGUUGUCGUCAGCUCGUGUCGUGAGAUGUUGGGUUAAGUCCCGCAACGAGCGCAACCCUUGAUUUUAGUUGCCAGCAUUUAGUUGGGCACUCUAAAGUGACUGCCGGUGUAAGCCGGAGGAAGGUGGGGAUGACGUCAAAUCAUCAUGCCCCUUAUGAUUUGGGCUACACACGUGCUACAAUGGACAAUACAAAGGGCAGCGAAACCGCGAGGUCAAGCAAAUCCCAUAAAGUUGUUCUCAGUUCGGAUUGUAGUCUGCAACUCGACUAUAUGAAGCUGGAAUCGCUAGUAAUCGUAGAUCAGCAUGCUACGGUGAAUACGUUCCCGGGUCUUGUACGCACCGCCCGUCACACCACGAGAGUUUGUAACACCCUAAGCCGGUGGAGUAACCAUUUGGAGCUAGCCGUCGAAGGUGGGAUAAAUGAUUGGGGUGAAGUCGUAACCAAGGUAACC